GUUUCGAAUGGGUUGCAGCUUUCCCUCGCUCUUGGGCUUCUCCUUGUCUUUUGGCCGAUGAACCUGGCGAAGAUCUGACUUACUGGAUCGCAUUCUGAGGUCUUUUCCUUCUCUCUUGGUUCCAGAGGCCUCUUGCUGUCCUGGGCUAUACGAGUACACAGCUCUGGGUAAUCCAGACAAACAGCACGCAGCAACCAGCGAAGGCCUCGUAGAGUCUUUCUGUCCGACCAACGUCGCAGGUCCAUUAAGGCUGAACAAGGCUCCUGAGAGGGAAAGAAAAAAGCAGAUCAGCAAGAACCCCCUUGACCUCCUUUAUCCUCUGCCUGUCACUGGAGUCCACCACAAAGAUUAUCCCAUGGGCCUCUCUAUAGAGCUCCCUCCAGGUUCCUCUCGACUCUGCUGAUCCUCCCACAUCCAACAAGGUGACCAAGUAGUUCUCUACUCGGAGCUCAUUUCGGAUGCAGCCCUGGGUGGGUCCUGCUUCCCCACCAUGGGGGACUGAAAAUACAUGAAGUGAAACACAGCUGGGUCAUUUGUGUGUUUCUUUUUUAAGCACUUCAAGAGAUAAAACCGUUUUAAAGUCACUGUUGAAUUACCUCUUAACAUGCCUCUGAUGCAAGAUGUUUUUCCUGCUUUGUCAAGACCAACCACCAGAAUGGUCAUUUUCCUGCAAAGAAAUAUGCAGUUUUCACUUGAAUGAGCAGCAUAUUGCUUUAGAUGACAGCUCAAUGUUUUAGCAACCGGAAAGCAGGAAGCAUCAAUGAAAAGUACAUGACAUGCAAAUUCAUGUUAUACAAAACUACCAAAAGAAAGAGGAAGAUGCAAUUUUGAUUUGUCUAACUUUCUCUGUACAAAUGCUUGCUCACUUUUGUUUGUAUUAAGUCACGUUCAGACCAGUUCCUAUGAGCAGAGAAAUGUCUGCACCUAACCACACUAGGAUUUAUUUUAUUUCAAAUAUAGUGAAUGUAGGAGGUUUCAUUGUGGUUGCUGUUGCCCAGCUUUGCGAUUAGGCUUGUUAUUUUUUGGAAAUAAGUUUUGCCAAAAUCAGCCCAUGAAUCACCGAUCACAUUUUUUCAGACUCAUUAUACUUUUCACUCAUUUUUCACGCAAUGCAUU